ensembl:lncRNA
GAGACCUGAUGAGGUCAAUGAUAAUUUGUUUUUGGAACAAAGCUUUCAACAACCGAAUUUCAUGGGAGAAAAACAAACUCCACCAACCUCCAAUGUGUCAUCGCCAGUAACUUCACCAACACACUCAUCUGUGAAUUCAAUAGACAGUCCAUUUUCUCUGUCCACCCGCAAGACUCGUUAUUCUCCUCAGGACUCUCCAGACAAGGGACAAUCUGAUUUGCUCACUCAGAAUAGCACAGACUACCAAAAUUCAAACAGCUUACAGAACGAAAAAUCAUCUCCGCCACAUCAUCAGAGGAACGUCAUUGAUAUUGAAUGGGGUUUACAAUGUAAAGUGCCCAAAAAUCCUCCUGCUUAUCAGCAGGCCUUUCAAAAAGUCAACAGAAAACCAUUCUCACAGACUCCCACUCAAAUGUUUUCACAUAAAGGAAAAGGCCUUUUCUACAGGGGUCCCGGGAGCCACACGCACAGUCCUUUAGGAGACCCCAAUGUGUCCCCUGACCCUCAGACUGUCAGGUUCACCUGUCAAACCAGGACUGAAGAAGAAGUCAAGCUACCACGCAGUGUGUUUUAUAGACAGAUCUGCAAGUUGACGGAGCACAAAGUCAGGGGACAGAAUGCAGGUUUGAAGUCUAGCAAACUCUCUGGGGAGCAGUUAAGGUUUAAAGCUCUUGAUUUGCACCCCUCCUCUGGAAAAAUAGUGGGGGACUACUUUAUGGAUGCUUCUCCUCCGAAAGAGAAGCAGGCUAUUGGGAGAGGCCAAAGGCUCAGUUGUUGCAGUAGCAGCCAGUGGAUUGUCUGAAGCCAGUGGGAACUCUCUUUUUCAAAAACAGCACAUAAACACUGGGACUCCAUUAAUGAUAAUAAUCUGCAGUUUCUUAUAAUUAACAAUUACACACUUCAUAUUACAGAAUUAUUACAUUUUUUAGAGGGCACGUAACAUUCUCAUUUUCCACUAGAUAUUUUCAUCUUCAUCUCAUUAGCAUUUAGAUUUUGGCAAGCUCUGCAGCAGCUGACCCACUAAAGACCCAGGUAUACUUCAUUUUCUGCAUCCGCACAGCUUUCAAAGCAAACUCAACCGCUGAGUAAACUCACAAAAACUGGGCUGCACGUGGAUGGU